rfam:Capsicum annuum cultivar Zunla-1 chromosome 9, whole genome shotgun sequence
CCCUCUUGGUUGGGACAUUGCAUAAGUUUCCCAUUGAAUCGCUCCCACACCUCAUAAAUAGGUUCUCCAUUCAAUUGAAGAAAGUUAGUGAUUAUGUCAUGCAAUUG